AAGAGCCGCAGUAUACUGACUGUGCAAAGGUAGCAAAAUAAUUUGUCUUUUAAUUAAAGACUAGAAUGAAUGGUCUGACGAGAAAAAAACUUUCUAAAUUAUUUUUCAAAAAUUAACAUUUAAGUCAAAAGGCUUAAAUAUAUCAGCAAGACGACMAGACCCUAUAAAACUUUACCUUUUAAAGACAUCMCCMCMGAAUUUAGUCMCUUUCAAAGGUUUAACUGGGGCGGUAUUUAUAUAAUUUUUAACUAUACAAAACAAAACAUAUAUUAAUGAAAUAAUAAAUCUUAAAUUAAMCWUAAAAAUAAGUUACUUUAGGGAUAACAGCAUAAUAUUUUUUGAGAGCCCAUAUCGACAAAAAUGAUUAUGACCUCGAUGUUGAAUUGGGAAACCCUUCAAAAGC
rnacentral:rRNA from 1 species